UGACAGGAUUACAUGAUAAAUGGAAUAAUAAUCUCUUUAGAUGGUUUUUGUUACGUUCCCUGCCUCGGUUUGCCUGGGUAGCGCAGGUGAAGCUAAUUAGCCUACCUAAUUGCCUGAUUACCUCCACCUGCCUGUGGCCAAACAUAAGCCCUGCUGUAGGAGGCCGAAGAGAUCUUUUGCGGGACUGUCUCGAACCGCUGCGGCAAAACAGGGCCCAUUCUCGUCAUUUAUGCCACGCUUAGUGACCAGAAUAUCCCUUGUUUCGAUCUCAAAUUUUUUUUUACGAGUGAGAUUCUCUUCACGGGAGUACGAGGUAGCUGUCUACAGGUCGGAAUCCUGUCGGGCGCUUUCCUCCUUGGGCAACGGUGUUGGACGCAGACAUUCGAACUCCCCAGGCGAAUCAAAGAAUUGAGGCACUGCUGUGUUAUCCACACCUCAGACAAUUGCUUCUCACUGUAGACCAAGCUGAGGAUAAAGCGGCCAUCGUGAAAGUUGCCAUGCAGGAACCCUUGUUCGUGGAAUUUGGUGACCAGUGCCUGAAAAUUGUAUAAAUGCCGUCCAAAUCCAUGCAUCAUGGCCACACUGUAAAGUGUUGUAAACAUUAUUUCAUGAUUUAAUAAUUCUGUGAAUUUUGAAA